CCUCCAAAUCCCUCAGCAAUGCCCCAGUUUCCUGUUUAGGUGGGCAGAGCACUUGACCUUGCUGCUCUCGUGUGUCCUAGACCCUGCCGAUCCUGCAUGGCACUCACUCGGGUGGACAACCAAGGCCGCUAGCCAAGAUGGCUUUUCCUAAGCCAACAACAACUGAAAGCACGCGGAGAAACAUUGUCUGACACACUUUCCGGGAUGGAUUUGAUAGUGGGCUUUUGAGCUCCUCCCAAUUUUAUGGUGAAGAAUUAUCACAUAUGAAAAUAAAAAUUGAAAAGGAUGAGAGAAGUCACUAAUCAUGAGAAGUCAUUCAAAUAAUGAGAAGUAAUUCAAGUAAUGAGAACUAAUAAUGAGAAAUUCAAAUGAGAAGCCAUUAAUGACUCACCUACCCAGAACUCUUAUUCAGCAAUGUUACCUUUCAGGAAUCCACCUGUGCAUCAGGAAGCAAUUAUCAAAAUUUUAUGUGAGAAAACAAAAUCAGAGUCACAAAAUCCCUAUGAAGUUCUGAUAUGCUCCAACCGUCCAAGUUGAUCAUCACAGCCCCGAGGAAAAUCAGUUUAAGCUGAUAAACAUUACACUGAAUAGGAAAUAAAGGGAUAUAGAAAGCCGAGGCAGAGAGGAAUAUUAAGGAAUAUACUCAUGGUCGCACAGGUGACAGAUCCUGAAUUUGAGCCCAAGACAUCUGGUGUCGUUAUUACAGCUUCAAGCUUUCUGAAAAGAUUUAUCUGUUCAUACCAGAGACAUGCAAGAGAGAAAUGACAACCACGGACUCUAGUCAUCCCCACGCCCCUGAGUUGCCAACUGCCAAACCCGAGUGGCUUUCAUUGCCACACGUGGUUAUCAAGAACCAUCCAGUCAGUCUGCUUAUAUUCCUCACCUAACUUCCAGAGCAGGACGAUUUAUAAACGACAAAGAUCUUCACAAGAGCUGCAAACUGUGGAGAAACUGAUUAGGGACCAAAUUUCACAUCAGUUUCAGGAAUUACCCUCCAGUGGAUCUCUUGGCUCCCCAAAUCAUCCCGGUCAACUUCCUGAAGAACCCAACUGACCAAGCACCCACCUGCUCCAGCCAAUCCUAGAUAUUCUGGAAAACGUGUUGGAUAAACUCAAGGGGCACGUGGACCCAGAGUGAGAAAUUAAGCCACCCUCAGUCACUCCAAAGUUGACUAAGUUAGAAAUAUGGAAAAAUACAUUUACAACUUAACAAG